UCUCUUCAUCCUUUAAAUGGUCGAAAAUAAGAUAAAUGUUGAGUCCUUAUAUGUACAUCCAACUAAACAUCUAUCUUGUUCGAAUAUUGAUUACCUUGAAAACUGAUUACAGAUCAAUUUGUUUGAGGCAAAUUUAUGCUUCUUUUUUUUUUCUAUUUUACCUCUGAUCUAUGGCUUGACAAAUCCAAGAUCGACUUGCCACUGAGAAUUGGUGGCUGACAAUGCCGAUAUGAUACCGAUCCGAUACCGUCCCCUAAGUCCAUGGUCCUCAUACGUCAUUCAAAAACAGAGAGUCAAUUGGGACGAAUCCAAUCCUUAUCGCCUUCACUUUCACUGAGGAAAGAGGAAUUCAGAAAGAGUGACUUUUCGAAGAAUCCAUCACUCUAAAUUCUAUUCUCUACUCUCUCUCUACCCAUUACCCAAAAAGAAAUGAUAAGCAAAACCCAGAAAGAACCUUUGCCUUUUCAUUUUUUUUUUUUUUUGCUUGCUUGCUACCUACUUUUCACUCUCAGGAAUCUAUUGUCAUAAUAACUCUUCUGUGUGUUCCUGUUUAGCUUGAAGCGGUGGAAGGGGAAAACGGGACCUAGAGUACCUAAUAAUGAUACUUAUUUAAUGGGAUGGGAGGUCGAGGAUCUCAGGACCAGUCUCUCAAAGGAAGGGAUCUAUCCGUCUAUCUAUCGCUGGAGUUGGGAGAAGAUUAAAUGUAGUUGCAGAGGUGUUGUGGGGGAGAAGAUAGUUAAAGUAAUAUGGCAGGGAUGUUACCAGGGGUUGAGCUAGCUCGAAGGAGAAGAAUCCAUUCUCAUCAAUUCGAUUACGACCGAUACUCCCGCUCCUACCCUUUUCUUCCAGAGCGUAUCAAACCCUUGUCCCCCGCAACCACCACCACCACCACUGUUACCACAAUGGACGCCGCCGCUCUCAAGGCCCACACGAGGCUUGAGGUGCAGCUCCGUUCCAGGUUAAUUUGUGGUUCUUUCUUCUCCUUUUCCAUAUUGUAGCCUAUUUCAUUUCUUCAUUCAGGGCUAUGGCUGAGACCCACAGCCAAAAGAUGGGAAUACAGAGUAUGACUCGCCAAUCCCACCUGAAAACCAGAAAAUCUCUGUUCUUCUCCAACUUGUUUUCAAAAUGGAUGAUAAGCAGAGACUGGUUUAGGGGUUCAUAAUUACUAUUGCGCAGAUAAUUUAAAGAAUAAGAUUGUAUACGUUGCGUGAUACUAAAGCUGCUGUUGUCAAAUUUUUGAAAAACAGGUGGAUUAAGCAUCCUCAAGCUUCCUCUGUUCAAGUAAGAAGUUCCUCUCAUGCUUUUCGGUCGAAGCAGAUUCAAAGGAGUGAAACAGAGACGAGGGCGAGAGAAACAGAAGUUUACAGGAAUAGUCCACAGCUAAGCCGGAGGAAUUCACAGAGAGAGGUUUGUGCGAUUUGCCUCGAUGAACUGCAAGGCCUGCGGGAGAUCACCGACCUGCCCUGUUCUCAUAAAUACCAUUCCGAUUGCCUUCUUCCAUGGCUCGCUUCCCAUUCGCAUUGCCCCUGUUGUAGAUCACUCGUUCAGUCAUUAUAAUUCCAUAUUCUUUUCAUUUCAACAAAUAAUUACUAAUGGAAGAGGGGAAAAUAAUUCCCCCAUUUGAUUGAUAAGA